UACGGGGGGGGCAAGCGUUGUUCGGAAUUACUGGGCGUAAAGGGUUCGUAGGUGGCCCGCUAAGUCAGACGUGAAAUCCCUCAGCUCAACUGGGGAACUGCGUCUGAGACUGGUGGGCUUGAGUGCAGGAGAGGAACGCGGAAUUCCAGGUGUGAGCGGUGAAAUGCGUAGAUAUCUGGAGGAACACCGGUGGCGAAGGCGGCGUUCUGGACUGUUACUGACACUGAGGAACGAAAGCCAGGGGAGCAAACGGGG
rnacentral:rRNA from 1 species